GACGAACGCUGGCGGCGUGCUUAACACAUGCAAGUCGAACGGAAAGGCCCUGCUUUUGUGGGGUGCUCGAGUGGCGAACGGGUGAGUAACACGUGAGUAACCUGCCCUUGACUUUGGGAUAACUUCAGGAAACUGGGGCUAAUACCGGAUAGGAGCUCCUGCUGCAUGGUGGGGGUUGGAAAGUUUCGGCGGUUGGGGAUGGACUCGCGGCUUAUCAGCUUGUUGGUGGGGUAGUGGCUUACCAAGGCUUUGACGGGUAGCCGGCCUGAGAGGGUGAACGGCGACAAUGGGACUACGAUACGGACCAGACUGCUACGGGAGGCAACAGUGGGGAAUAUUGCACAAUGGGAGGAAGCCUGAGGCAGAAACGCCGGGUGCGGGAUGACGGCCUUCGGGUUGUAAACCGCUUUAGCCUGUGACGAAGCGUGAGUGACGGUAAUGGGUAAAGAAGCACCGGCUAACUACGUG
rnacentral:rRNA from 1 species